AAAACGGCCCUUUUCAGGGCCACUCACAAAUUCCUGGAAAAGCUAU
rfam:Lingula anatina scaffold487, whole genome shotgun sequence.